AUAGGGGUCGAGUUCGGCUGGAUCGGUGACAGGUGCUGCAUGGCUGCCGUCAGCUCGUGUCGUGAGAUGUUGGGUUAAGUCCCGCAACGAGCGCAACCCUUGUCCUUAGUUGCCACCAUUCAGUUGGGCACUCUAAGGAGACUGCCGGUGUUAAACCGGAGGAAGGUGGGGAUGACGUCAAGUCCUCAUGGCCCUUAUAUCCAGGGCUACACACGUGCUACAAUGGCCGGUACAAAGGGUCGCAAUACCGCGAGGUGGAGCUAAUCCCAAAAAGCCGGUCUCAGUUCGGAUUGGAGUCUGCAACUCGACUCCAUGAAGUCGGAAUCGCUAGUAAUCGCGUAUCAGCGUGCCGCGGUGAAUACGUUCCCGGGCCUU
rnacentral:rRNA from 1 species